rnacentral:misc_RNA from 1 species
AAAGUCGUAACAAGGUCUCCGUUGGUGAACCAGCGGAGGGAUCAUUACAGAGUGUAAAAACUCCCAACCCACUGUGAACCUACCAAAACGUUGCCUCGGCGCGGUCCCCAGGGGCUGCGCCGGGGGCCCUUAACUCUUGUAUCAUUGGAAUCUCUGAGUGGCUGAAAAGCAAAAAUAAGUUAAAACUUUCAACAACGGAUCUCUUGGCUCUG